ensembl:lncRNA
UAAUACUAAAUUAGCCAAGACUUUUUCACUUGAAAAUGUAUCAAGGCGAACACAGAGUCUGGUCUUGUUGGUAGCUUGUGUAGUGUACGUCUACUCAAAGACGGCGCUACGAUAUCACAGUUACGAAGCUUUGUUCGAUUUUAACAGACUUGAUGAAUUUUAUCAGCCAACCAAGUAUCAAAAUGUCAAUUUCAAUCGUGAAUGUUAUUGAAUUGGAACCAUAAUCUGUUUGAAAGAAGACACAAAUGGGAAAAUGGUGAUGUGUAAUUUGUAGAAAAUGGGUUUAAACAUCCCAAAUUUGUCCUUUAGGUUGCAAAAUGGUAUUGAAUUACUAAAGAAGAAAAAACACACUGUGUGUUAAAAAAAAAAAAAUCCUGCUAUACUGUUAAUAAGUGCAACAAUGUAACUUUGUAUUAUUUGCUUUAUUGCUUGCUUAAGUAUUUAGUUGUUACUUAAGGUUACGUUGUAACAGAUUUUUGUGGUGCUACCGCUUGUGUUUUAGCAACGCGUGGAUAUGGAUUAGUGGUUGCUUGGGAUGUAACUGGGGAACCUACGUGCAGCUGAUGUAUCUGACCCCCCCGACACUGCCUCUUCUCUUUGAACAUGGCACAUGUCAACCGGGUCUUAAUCCCACUGUGUUUCAGCACACCCAGUCUGACACACACACACACACACAUUAUUGUACACAACCACGUACUAUUCACACACACACACACAGAUGGAGAAAACAUACCAACACACACAGAUAUACUAAACAAAUAAGCGCCCCUUUCUGGAAGCUCUAGGCCAGUACCGUCCUUAAAAUGGGAGUGUAUUAUACGGCUGGGACGCAGGAACGUUACUUGUCGCUUCAUUUCUGUUCAAGCCUGAUCCCUCUACUUCUGUCUUUGAAUGUUAAGUGGUUGUUCUUUAAGCCCUGCACCACUGCCUCCACUGCUUCUCGUGCUCGUAGGACUUUGCUUGCCCGCUCGCCUGUUGUCCUCCCUCUACUCCCGUUUCCUCAGAUCAACGCGGUUGGGCAACAUCUUUUAAGUCGUUCUCCUGCAACGAACUGUGCUGUCGUUAACAAGGUGGCAUUUGUGUGGUAUUUGUAUAUUUACGCUGAGGAUACACACAGACACAAACGAGCGAGCAACGCGCGGGUUGUUCGGGUUCAACUUCAGUUGAGCUGAGGCGCUUCAGCCAGAGUGUCUCCUCGCAUAGCUCACUGUCGACAGCUCUAACGUCUCUCGCGUGUUGCACUCUAAGGGUCUCUGACAAGUCGGCUCAAUCGGAGAUCGUGCGCUAGUGGAGAAAAUGAGACACGAUGGAGAGGCAAAGGGAAGAGGCAUUGCAGUGUAAUGUGCAGCUCCAACGUAGAAGAUGAAGAACAGCAGAGUCGGGCAGGUCUUUAGUCUUUUACACGUGGUUAUUCCUGUGACAGCCAUUAGUGGCGACCAAGCAACUCGGCUAAAACUACUUACAAAAUGAGUCCGAGGUGAUGAUUGCAGCCAGCAAGCAAAGAUCGACACAAGUCAAUAAUCACAGCUUGCAACACCUGACAAAUUGACUUUAUUACUACACACAAAUAUCAGAGAAAAUGCCCCUGGGACGCAUUGUAAAGGAGAAAUGUACAAGUUGCAGUGACCCAACUGUGAACUGCGUGAAACGAUUACUUGGCCUCGACAUCGCAAAGCCCAGGCGUAGCGGGGGAAAGAGUAUCUGGAGCAGUAGAUGUUGGAACAAUGCUGAAUAUUGUCGUAAAAUGUCACCUCGGUAUUGCUUUUUUUAUGUCGGAAAUCGUCUUACCAGAACCAGUGAGGUUGUGUAGGUGCUGCUAUCAUGCUCGUUCCAUCCCAUGCACACUCGUCUUUCCCCCUUGCCCUGUCCUUCAGGUGUACUUCUGUGCUGUCGGAUCACCAAUUGGCUGUUUGCAUGUUAUAACCAAAAGGAAACAGAUACUAUAUAGAUACUAUAUAUACAUAGAAAUGUUUUUCCACUUACAGAUUACAUAUGCAUCUGAUACACGCUCUCAAAGACAAUAGACAUACAUGGAAAGCUACACUCAUUCUCACACUGAUACACACCCAUACGCUAUUGCAAACAGUAAUUUGUGGAAAAACUUAAGAAGAAUCACAUUUUCUAUUCUGUCGAGAAACAAUGUAAUCUUCUGGAUAUACAUAAUGCAUUUGUGUUAUGAGAUGAUUUCUUUCUGUUUUUACCCUUCAUUUCAAUGAUAUGAAAAUCAAUCCCUAAAGUUCUGUUAAUCUUUACAGGGAUUAUCAAACAAAACACCAUUGUGAAGUCAAAUAUUUAACUCACCCUCCAUAUCUAUCUCUUGAAAAAAAAAAAAAGAAAGUAAAAAAACAACUUAAACUUAAAAUGCUGUAAAAAAAUAAAGUUGAUGUAUUCUCUGCUUGUGUAUAGUGAAUGUUCCUCAGUCGCUGGGCGUGGCAGCGAGUGGCGGGCGCACACCAGUCGACUGUGACAGUGCAGAUCUGUUAAUAACUUUUUUGUACACCUGCUUAUCAUUGUGUAGGUGAUAAUAGUGAUUCUUAUGAUUUCAGCAAUCUGGUAACGUGUUUUGUUAGUAAGUCACAAAUAAAGUCUUUCUUAAAUAUCUUAAAA